AUUGAACGCUGGCGGCAUGCUUUACACAUGCAAGUCGAACGGCAGCGCGGGCUUCGGCCUGGCGGCGAGUGGCGAACGGGUGAGUAAUACAUCGGAACGUGCCCAGUAGUGGGGGAUAGCUCGGCGAAAGCCGGAUUAAUACCGCAUACGACCUGAGGGUGAAAGCGGGGGAUCUUCGGACCUCGCGCUAUUGGAGCGGCCGAUGGCAGAUUAGCUAGUUGGUGGGGUAAAGGCCUACCAAGGCGACGAUCUGUAGCUGGUCUGAGAGGACGACCAGCCACGCGGGGACUGAGCCCCGCCUCAGACUCCCAGGGGGGGCGGCGGUGGGAAUUUUUGGAGAGGGGGCGAACAUGGUACCAAGAAAUGCCGCGUGAGGGAUGGGGGCCCUAGUGUUGUAAAGCCCUUUUGGGGGGAAAAAAAAGGUUUGGGCGAAUACCCGGUUUGGUUGACGUUCCCCGCAAAAAAAGCCCGGGCAAUCGAUG
rnacentral:rRNA from 1 species